rnacentral:rRNA from 1 species
UACGUAGGGUGCAAGCGUUAAUCGGAAUUACUGGGCGUAAAGCGUGCGCAGGCGGUUUGUAAGUCUGUCGUGAAAUCCCCGGGCUCAACCUGGGAAUUGCGAUGGAGACUGCAAGGCUAGAAUCUGGCAGAGGGGGGGGUAGAAUUCCACGUGUAGCAGUGAAAUGCGUAGAGAUGUGGAGGAACACCGAUGGCGAAGGCAGCCCCCUGGGUCAAGAUUGGACGCUACAUGCACGAA